AGCGAACGCUGGCGGCAGGCCUAACACAUGCAAGUCGAACGAAGUCUUCGGACUUAGUGGCGGACGGGUGAGUAACACGUGGGAACGUGCCUUUAGGUUCGGAAUAACUCAGGGAAACUUGUGCUAAUACCGAAUGUGCCCUUCGGGGGAAAGAUUUAUUGCCUUUAGAGCGGCCCGCGUCUGAUUAGCUAGUUGGUAGGGUAAAGGCUCACCAAGGCGACGAUCAGUAGCUGGUCUGAGAGGAUGAUCAGCCACAUUGGGACUGAGACACGGCCCAAACUCCUACGGGAGGCAGCAGUGGGGAAUCUUGCGCAAUGGGCGAAAGCCUGACGCAGCCAUGCCGCGUGAAUGAUGAAGGUCUUAGGAUUGUAAAAUUCUUUCACCGGGGACGAUAAUGACGGUACCCGGAGAAGAAGCCCCGGCUAACUUCGUGCCAGCCGCCGCGGUAAUAC
rnacentral:rRNA from 1 species